UACGGGGGGGGCAAGCGUUGUUCGGAAUUACUGGGCGUAAAGGGCUCGUAGGCGGCCAACUAAGUCAGACGUGAAAUCCCUCGGCUUAACCGGGGAACUGCGUCUGAUACUGGAUGGCUUGAGAUUGGGAGAGGGAUGCGGAAUUCCAGGUGUAGCGGUGAAAUGCGUAGAUAUCUGGAGGAACACCGGUGGCGAAGGCGGCAUCCUGGACCAACACUGACGCUGAUGAGCGAAAGCCAGGGGAGCAAGCGGG
rnacentral:rRNA from 1 species